rnacentral:lncRNA from 1 species
GGUCAAAGAAGCCAAAAGAUUUAAAUAAGGUCUUGUGUGUGGGUAUGUGUAUGUGCAUGUAUUUAUUGAAGAAAAUAAGUUUCAAUUUGAGAAUUAGAAAAUUGGAUAUUUCAUUUUAAUUAUUUAUUUAAAGAGUAGAGUGUUCUUCCAUUAUUGAAUCUUCUUUUAUCCCACCAAAUGGCUUAACCUAAUUUGCGCUGCCUAUUUUGGUUAAGAAACAGGGAAACACCCUAAAAUCUGUGAUAAUUUUCAAAAUACAAUUUUAAGAAGCUUUGCGCUUACAUAAAUCACAAGAAAUACAGCUGGAAAUCAUUUCACUUUUCUUGCUGUAAAUUUUUUUAGUGGGUUUGUGACAGUAUAAAUUUUCUUGCUAGAUGCUAAUGAUACAUUGUAUUAUCUGUAUUAGGAAUUAAAUAUUUAAUAGGAAUAGUGAAUAAAUUGAUCUGCUCUCAUGCUGUUAUCUAAGAUCUUAUGCUACCAUUACAUUCCUUUCUGUAGUCGUAUCUCAUAUUUGAAAGGUCUCAUGUUGUAAAUAUUUGACUUGCUGUAAAAUUAUACAAGAUAAAAAAUG